rnacentral:rRNA from 1 species
GUGCCAGCCGCCGCGGUAAUACGUAGGGGGCAAGCGUUGUCCGGAUUUAUUGGGCGUAAAGAGCGUGUAGGCGGCCAUGCAGGUCCGUUGUGAAAACUCGAGGCUUAACCUCGAGACGCCGGUGGAAACCGUGUGGCUAGAGUCCGGAAGAGGAGAGUGGAAUUCCUGGUGUAGCGGUGAAAUGCGCAGAUAUCAGGAAGAACACCCGUGGCGAAGGCGGCUCUCUGGGACGUGACUGACGCUGAGACGCGAAAGCGUGGGGAGCAAACAGGAUUAGAUACCCGCGUAGUCC